UACGAAGGGGGCUAGCGUUGCUCGGAAUCACUGGGCGUAAAGCGCACGUAGGCGGACUCUUAAGUCGGUGGUGAAAUCCUGGAGCUCAACUCUAGAACUGCCUUCGAUACUGAGAGUCUCGAGUCCGGGAGAGGUGAGUGGAACUGCGAGUGUAGAGGUGAAAUUCGUAGAUAUUCGCAAGAACACCAGUGGCGAAGGCGGCUCACUGGCCCGGUACUGACGCUGAGGUGCGAAAGCGUGGGGAGCAAACAGG
rnacentral:rRNA from 1 species